rnacentral:rRNA from 1 species
CGCAUCUGUGCAUGCAGCAUAUCAAUAAGCGGAGGAAAAGAAACUAACAAGGAUUCCCUUAGUAACGGCGAGUGAAGCGGGAAGAGCUCAAAUUUGAAAUCUUCAAGGUUUUACCUUGACGAAUUGUAGUUUAAAGAAGUGUUUUCUGUUGAAGUUUUGGUAAAAGUUCUUUGGAAUAGGACAUCAUAGAGGGUGAGAAUCCCGUAUUUGACCAUUAUUUUCAGCUGUGUGAUACACUUUCAAAGAGUCGGAUUGUUUGGGAAUGCAGUCCAAAAUGGGUGGUAAAUUUCAUCUAAAGCUAAAUAUUGGCGAGAGACCGAUAGCGAACAAGUACCGUGAGGGAAAGAUGAAAAGAACUUUGAAAAGAGAGUUAAACAGUACGUGAAAUUGUCAAAAGGGAAGCGUUUGACACCAGUGUUGUUUUCUCGAAAAUCAAUUAAAAAGAGUUAGAUUUUGUUGUGUAUUGACCUUAACAGCUUGCAUUUCAAUUUUCUUGCUUUUUUUAAUGCACUUUUCGUUUAACAAGUCAACAUCCAGUUUCUUUUGUUGUAAAAAGGUCAUUGGAAGGUGGCUUUCUUUUCGGAGAAAGUGUUUAUAGCCUUUGACUCCUGCAAUCGGAGAGACUGAGGUCUGCAGCGUAGAUCCUUCGGGGUUAGAUACAUUUGUGCUAAGUUAUAGCUUUUUAUAGACAACUUGUUGACUAUGAUUAGUCUUGUAGCUUACUCGCUUAUGCUAUUUUACCUACGCUUAGGAUGUUGAUCUGUAGUGCGUGCGC